rnacentral:lncRNA from 1 species
AUUAUUGUAGCAAGUUCCAGAAACUAAAAUUGUAAUUGUUGCACUUAAAUGACACCCUUGUUCAGGUAAACAGAUAUUUCUCAUCCCAUUCCAUUUCUGGUUUACAUUUCUUUUCAAAAUUUCGUAGUCAACUAUUAGAAUAAUGUGUUGAGAAUGUUAGAAAUUAUUUUCCAGCCAUAAAACAAAUUACAAACUCGAAUCUAACUCAUAAUCACCAUCUAGCUUUGCAUGUUCAGUCACUGUGAGUUACAGAAAAGAAUCUUCAAAAUUCCAACAAUUCUUUCAUGCAUUUAUAAGAUAAGAUGGGUAAAAAUCUUGUUAAUUCAUGUUAUGAGAAUUCUAGAUGCAUUGGAUGAUAAAUUGCUUGAAGUGGUCUGGUGUUGCUGCAUGUGUUAAAUUGAUAUGUGCAUGUGUAAUGAAUUAUGAUUUUUGCUAAAUUGAAAUGAUUAUUUGAUGCAUAAGUGAAUUAAAUGAAUUGAUAUAGGUGGUUGAUGUUUAGAAAAUGAAGAAACAUGAAAAAUUUUGAAGAGCAUAAGCUCAAUUGUUUAUGUCGCAAGCAUGCGACACCAAGGUGCUGCUGUUGAUGAACGUAUGCUGUUCUGAAGCAUGCGUAUGUGCGUAGGACAUUUUUGGACACCCAAAAAAGUCUGGAAAUGCCCAUGGGCAUGGGUAUGCACGGUAAUGUUGUGCAGGUCGAUUGAAAGGCACUGCCACACUAAUUGUGCCGAGAGUGCUAUGUGGGCAUGCUCAUGGCACUAUCAUGUAUGCUGGUGCACGUAUACACAUAGGGGUUGUGUGUGGAGUGCCACUGCAUUCCAGCAUCUGUCCCGCGGCUAAUUGUAUUUUGUAGCAAGCUUUGCAUCUCGUGCUGACCUUCC